rnacentral:rRNA from 14 species
UGACGCCUGCCCGGUGCCUGAAGGUUAAAAGGAGGGGUGCAAGCUCCGAAUUGAAGCCCAGGUAAACGGCGGCCGUAACAAUAACGGUCCUAAGGUAGCGAAAUUCCUUGUCGGGUAAGUUCCGACCUGCACGAAUGGCGUAACGAUGGGGGCGCUGUCUCUACCCGAGACUCAGUGAAAUUGAAAUCGCCGUGAAGAUGCGGUGUAUCCGCGGCUAGACGGAAAGACCCCGUGAACCUUUACUAUAGCUUCACAGUGAACUUUGAGCAUGUUUGUGUAGGAUAGCUGGGAGGCUUUGAAGUGGGAACGCCAGUUCUCAUGGAGCCAACCUUGAAAUACCAGCCUGACAUGUUUGAGGUUCUAACUUGGUCCCCUUAUCGGGGAUGAGGACACUGUGUGGUGGGUAGUUUGACUGGGGCGGUCUCCUCCCAAAGCGUAACGGAGGAGCACAAAGGUGGGCUAAGCAUGGUCGGACAUCAUGCGGUUAGUGUAAUGGCACAAGCCCGCUUAACUGCGAGACAGACACGUCGAGCAGGUACGAAAGUAGGUCAUAGUGAUCCGGUGGUUCUGUAUGGAAGGGCCAUCGCUCAACGGAUAAAAGGUACUCCGGGGAUAACAGGCUGAUACCGCCCAAGAGUUCACAUCGACGGCGGUGUUUGGCACCUCGAUGUCGGCUCGUCACAUCCUGGGGCUGAAGCCGGUCCCAAGGGUAUGGCUGUUCGCCAUUUAAAGUGGUACGCGAGCUGGGUUUAGAACGUCGUGAGACAGUUCGGUCCCUAUCUGCCGUGGACGUUGGAGAUUUGAGGAAAGCUGCUCCUAGUACGAGAGGACCGGAGUGGACGAACCUCUGGUGUUCGGGUUGUGACGCCAGUCGCAUUGCCCGGUAGCUAUGUUCGGACAGGAUAACCGCUGAAAGCAUCUAAGCGGGAAGCCCCUUCCAAGAUGAGAUCUCCCUGGACCCUCGAGGUCCCUGAAGAGCCGUUCAAGACCAGGACGUUGAUAGGUCGGGUGUGUAAGCGCUGCGAGGCGUUGAGCUAACCGAUACUAAUUGCUCGUGCG